CAGUGUUCAGCAAUGAGAUGGCAGUGACAGGAAAUUGGACAUAUUAGAUUUUGAGCAUGCAGGGGGAAUUGAGUUACAGAUGUCCAGGGUAAUGCUGGGAAGAUUAAUGUACAGUGCUGCAUCUCUGACUAUGGGAGCUCCCAGUGGGCUGCAGAAUGGGAAAGAAGAGCUCUACAAACUACCACUGGUUAGAAUGCGUGCAUACAAUCUUUAUGAAGGCCAAAGAGUGGGAGAAAUCUGAUCUGAACAUGGAGAGAGAAAAAAAGAAUUGCU
rnacentral:lncRNA from 1 species